rnacentral:pre_miRNA from 1 species
UGCCCCAGGUGCUGUGUGGAAGACUAGUGAUUUUGUUGUGAUGCUGAAGAGAGACAACAAAUCCCAGUCUGCCGCCCAGCGAGGGGCA